CUAAGACUGGAUAGGAAGAUAAAAGGCAUCUUUUAUCUUUUAAAAGACCUAGUAAUAGGUAUGCUUUAGGAGGGGCUUGCGCCAUAUUAGUUAGUUGGUAGGGUAAUGGCCUACCAAGACGAUGAUGUGUAGCUGGACUGAGAGGUUGAACAGCCACAUUGGGACUGAGACACGGCCCAAACUCCUACGGGAGGCAGCAGUAGGGAAUUUUCGGCAAUGGAGGAAACUCUGACCGAGCAACGCCGCGUGAAUGACGAAGUACUUCGGUAUGUAAAGUUCUUUUAUCAAGGAAGAAAAGCAAAUGGCGAACCAUUUGUUUGCCGGUACUUGAUGAAUAAGCCCCGGCUAAUUAUGUGCCAGCAGCCGCGGUAAGACAUAAGGGGCAAGUGUUAUCCGGAAUUAUUGGGCGUAAAGGGUGCGUAGGCGGUCUAGUAAGUCAGUGGUGUAAUGGCAACGCUUAACGUUGUCCGGCUAUUGAAACUGCUAAACUUGAGUUAGAUAGAGGCGAGUGGAAUUCCAUGUGUAGCGGUAAAAUGCGUAAAUAUAUGGAGGAACACCAGAGGCGUAGGCGGCUCGCUGGGUCUUAACUGACGCUGAGGCACGAAAGCGUGGGGAGCAAACAGGAUUAGAUACCCUGGUAGUCCACGCCGUAAACGAUGAGUACUAAGUGUCGGGUUAAACCGGUACUGAAGUUAACACAUUAAGUACUCCGCCUGAGUAGUACGUACGCAAGUAUGAAACUUAAAGGAAUUGACGGGACUCCGCACAAGCGGUGGAUCAUGUUGUUUAAUUCGAAGAUACCCGAAAAACCUUACCAGGUCUUGACAUGUUUUUGCAAAAUGAUAGUAAUAUCGUGGAGGUUACCAGAAACACAGGUGGUGCAUGGUUGUCGUCAGCUCGUGUCGUGAGAUGUUAGGUUAAGUCCUAAAACGAGCGAAACCCUUAUCGUUAGUUGCCAGCACGUUAUGGUGGGGACUUUAACGAGACUGCCAAUGAUAAAUUGGAGGAAGGUGAGGAUCACGUCAAAUCAGCAUGCCCCUUAUGACCUGGGCUACAAACGUGAUACAAUGGCUGUUACAAAGGGUAGCUGAAACGCAAGUUCUUGGCCAAUCCCCAAAAACAGUCCCAGUCCGGAUUGAAGUCUGCAACUCGACUUCAUGAAGUUGGAAUCGCUAGUAAUCGCGAAUCAGCAUGUCGCGGUGAAUACGUUCUCGGGGUUUGUACACACCGCCCGUCAA
rnacentral:rRNA from 1 species